UGGGGAAUUUUGGACAAUGGGCGAAAGCCUGAUCCAGCAAUGCCGCGUGUGUGAAGAAGGCCUUCGGGUUGUAAAGCACUUUUGUCCGGAAAGAAAUCCUUGGCUCUAAUACAGUCGGGGGAUGACGGUACCGGAAGAAUAAGCACCGGCUAACUACGUGCCAGCAGCCGCGGUAAUACGUAGGGUGCAAGCGUUAAUCGGAAUUACUGGGCGUAAAGCGUGCGCAGGCGGUUUGCUAAGACCGAUGUGAAAUCCCCGGGCUCAACCUGGGAACUGCAUUGGUGACUGGCAGGCUAGAGUAUGGCAGAGGGGGGUAGAAUUCCACGUGUAGCAGUGAAAUGCGUAGAGAUGUGGAGGAAUACCGAUGGCGAAGGCAGCCCCCUGGGCCAAUACUGACGCUCAUGCACGAAAGCGUGGGGAGCAAACAGGAUUAGAUACCCUGGUAGUCCACGCCCUAAACGAUGUCAACUAGUUGUUGGGGAUUCAUUUCCUUAGUAACGUAGCUAACGCGUGAAGUUGACCGCCUGGGGGAGUACGGUCGCAAGAUUAAAACUCAAUGAAUUGACGGGGUCAUAGCUGUUUCCU
rnacentral:rRNA from 1 species